rnacentral:rRNA from 1 species
UACGUAGGGGGCAAGCGUUGUCCGGAUUUAUUGGGCGUAAAGAGCGUGUAGGCGGCCAGAUAGGUCAGCUGUGAAAACUCGAGGCUCAACCUCGAGACGUCGGUUGAAACCAUCUGGCUAGAGUCCGGAAGAGGAGAGUGGGAAUUCCCGGUGUAGCGGUGAAAUGCGCAGAUAUCGGGAAGAACACCCGUGGCGAAGGCGGCUCUCUGGGACGGUACUGACGCUGAGACGCGAAAGCGUGGGGAGCGAACAGG